rnacentral:lncRNA from 1 species
UCAGAGAUCUGUGGGGCCAGCCAGCCUGAGCCUGCUCACCUUCAGAGUCUAUGCAGCACCCAAAAGGACUCGCCUCACAAAAGUUACAUGAGAUCGAUGAGCUCUCACUCUACUCAGUUCCUGAGGGUCAAUUAAAUAUGUGGAGGAGCCGAGGACUCACUUGAAGAAAACAUCUCAGAACUCCGACAUCAUUGUGAGCCAUAUACAAGUUUGUGUCUGGAAAUAUACUCCCAUACUAAGCUCAGCGUGGAACACUUUGUCCAGUGGGGAGUAGACAAUUAUAACUAUCUUCAAAAUGCGCCUCCUGGAUUUUACCCAAGACUCGGUGUUAUUGGUUUUGCUGGUUUUGUUGGACUCCUUUUUGCUAGAGGUUCAAAAAUAAAGAAGGUGGUGUAUCCUCCUUUCUUCAUGGGAUUAGGUGCCUCUGUCUAUUACCCUCAACAAGCCAUCACCAUUGCCCAGAUCACUGGGGAGAAGUUAUAUGA